AUGGUAGGAUAGAGGCCUACCAUGGUGGUAACGGGUAACGGGGAAUUAGGGUUCGAUUCCGGAGAGGGAGCCUGAGAAACGGCUACCACUUCCAAGGAAGGCAGCAGGCGCGCAAAUUACCCAAUCCCGACACGGGGAGGUAGUGACAAUAAAUAACAAUACGGGGCUCUUUAGGGUCUCGUAAUUGGAAUGAGUACAAUUUAAAUCCCUUAACGAGGAACAAUUGGAGGGCAAGUCUGGUGCCAGCAGCCGCGGUAAUUCCAGCUCCAAUAGCGUAUAUNAAAGUUGUUGCAGUUAAAAAGCUCGUAGUUGAAUUUCGGGAUCGACGUGACGGUCGUGCCUUACGGGGCAUGAACUGUCGUAGUUGAUUUCUCACCUUCUGGAGAAGCUCGAUGUCCUUAAUUGGGUGUCUUGCGGAACCAGGACCUUUACCUUGAAAAAAUUAGAGUGUUUAAAGCAGGCAUUUUUGCUCGAAUACAUUAGCAUGGAAUAAUAGAAUAGGACGGCAUGGUUCUAUUUUGUUGGUUUCUAGGAUCACCGUAAUGGUUAAUAGGGAUAGUUGGGGGCAUUAGUAUUCAAUUGUCAGAGGUGAAAUUCUUGGAUUUAUUGAAGACUAACUACUGCGAAAGCAUUUGCCAAGGAUGUUUUCAUUAAUCAAGAACGAAAGUUAGGGGAUCGAAGACGAUCAGAUACCGUCGUAGUCUUAACCAUAAACUAUGCCGACUAGGAAUCAGACGAUGUUAAUUUUUUAAUGACUCGUUUGGCACCUUACGGGAAACCAAAGUGUUUGGG
rnacentral:rRNA from 1 species